CUACUAGCCAGGCUAAGCUAAUCACAGGAAGUUACGUGAUGCUUGGAGCGGCGUUUCAAACACGUCACAUUGUUUAUUUUUAUUGUUUCCGAUGGAAAAAAUCCAAUAAACAGAAAGAAACAGGAGAGAAGAUAGAAUCGGGCACACUGGAUCAAAUAGCUCCUAUCAUUAAACAUCAGACAUUAAAUAUGGACGCAGGAAUGACCGGAACCAAAGAAACAAGUUCUUUAGGAACUUUGUUAAUAUGAGAUGAAAUUUGACAUUGUGGAUUUACUGCAGAAGGAUUCGGGAAGCAGAGGAUAUCAGACUAUAUUUGAUGCAGUCGCCAGAAUCUCUGAUCCUGAUUCACAUCUGGUGUCGCUCCAGUUCUCCUGUUUCUGAGUUUUGCAACAAGUGAGUCACAGCAAAGCCGUUAGCCGGGGGCAACGCUGAGCUGAUGCUUCCAGUAGCAGGAGCUGCGCCAAGAAGCUAACAGAAGCUAACAGAAACUAAGGGAAGCUAACAGAAGCUAACAGAAACUAAGGGAAGCUAACAGAAGCUAAAAGAAACUAAGGGAAGCUAACAGAAGCUAAGGGAAGCUAACAGAAACUAAGGGAAGCUAACAGAAACUAAGGGAAGCUAAUAGAAGCUAAGGGAAGCUAAUAGAAGCUAACAUAAACUAAGGGAAGCUAACAGAAGCUAAGGGAAGCUAACAGAAGCUAACAGAAACUAAGGGAAGCUAACAGAAACUAAGGGAAGCUAAUAGAAGCUAAGGGAAGCUAAUAGAAGCUAACAUAAACUAAGGAAAGCUAACAGAAACUAAGGGAAGCUAACAGAAACUAAUAGAAACUAAGGGAAGCUAACAGAAGCUAACAGAUACUAAGGGAAGCUAACAGAAACAAAGGGAAGCUAACAGAAACUACGGGAAGCUAACAGAAACUAAGGGAAGCUAAUAGAAGCUAACGGAAGCUAACAGAAACUAAGGGAAGAAAACAGAAGCUAACUGAAACUAAGGGAAGCUAAUAGAAGCUAACAGAAACUAAGGGAAGCUAAUGGAAGCUAACAGAAACUAAGGGAAGCUAACAGAAGCUAACAGAAACUAAGGAAAGCUAACAGAAACUAAGGGAAGCUAAUAGAAGCUAACAUAAACUAAGGGAAGCUAACAGAAACUAAGGGAAGCUAACAGAAACUAAUAGAAACUAAGGGAAGCUAACAGAAGCUAACAGAAACUAAGGGAAGCUAACAGAAACUAAGGGAAGAAAACAGAAGCUAACAGAAACUAAGGGAAGCUAACAGAAGCUAACAGAAACUAAGGGAAGCUAACAGAAACUAAGGGAAGAAAACAGAAGCUAACUGAAACUAAGGGAAGCUAAUAGAAGCUAACAGAAACUAAGGGAAGCUAAUGGAAGCUAACAGAAACUAAGGGAAGCUAACAGAAGCUAACAGAAACUAAGGGAAGCUAACAGAAACUAAGGGAAGCUAAUAGAAGCUAAUAGAAGGUAACAGAAACUAAGGGAAGCUAACAGAAACUAAGGGAAGCUAACAGAAACUAAGGGAAGCUAAUGGAAGCUAACAGAAACUAAGGGAAGCUAACAGAAGCUAAUAGAAGCUAACAGAAACUAAGGGAAGCUAACAGAAACUAAGGGAAGCUAACAGAAGCUAAUAGAAGCUAAUAGAAACUAACAGAAACUAAGGGAAGCUAACAGAAACUAAGGGAAGCUAACAGAAGCUAACAGAAGCUAACAGAAACACUGAAGAGGAGUUGCCAUGGAUACAGUUGCAACAUGUUUUAUUAUUACACGCCUCAGUUUUUAGCAUGUAGCUUAGCGUCUAGCCUGGUCUUGUUGUGCAUAAGGUGUAAAGUUUACCUCCAAGCAAACGACCCCAAAGGAAUCGCAGCGCCCCCUAUAUGUUAAUAUUUCUGCCAGCGCCCCCUGCCGCCCCGUUGAGAAACAUUACUCUAAGAUAAUAAAUCCUAGCAUUUGUAUUAAAUGCUUCCUCCCUGAUUCUGUGAUGCGUUUCAUAAAAAAAGAAAAAUGAUUAUUUGCCAAAGUUAUGGAGGAUAUUUCAGCGGCAGGCUGAUCCUCCACCAGGGGGCAGCAAACAGGAACAAAUAUCCACCAAAACGCUGAAAUUUCUACAUUUAUUUCACAUUUUCAAUAGAAAACAAUGUUGAUAUUCUUUUAUCAUGAAUAAUUAUACAUUUGAGAUAUUUUUAAACUAUUAAAGGCAUAAAAUGACAACAUUAAAGCUGAUUUUAAAGUGCAGUAAAUGUGACAGAACAGCCAGAACUGUCAGGCUGAAGUUAAACAUUCAGGAGAUGAAGAACCGGGUCGGUUUCCUGGAUCAGAACCAGGAGGAGGAGCUGAUCUGUUCCUGAACUCAGAGACUCAAACUUCCUCCUUCAGUUCAGUUCAACUCUCCAACAUUAACUCUGCUCAACAUGGACUAUUAUGGUCUGUCUCUGCUCAUCAUGUCUCUGCUAACAGGAGUCAGAUGUGAUGAACUCAGACCCAUCAAGAUCGAACUGUUCAGCUUCGAAAGCAGCUCCGUUAAUCUGUCUUACAGUUUAUCCAGAGAAGCUCGAAGCAACGACUAUUUCUACUGGUACCGUCAGAACCCAGGAGAACCUCCAGAGGUUCUGAUCUCCCACUCUGCAUCAGGAGCUGAAGGGGUUAAAAAAGUUCCUGAACUGAAGAUUGAAGUGAGGAAAACCCAGAUGGAUCUGCUGAUCUCCUCUGCUGCAGUGACAGACUCUGCUGUGUACUACUGCGCUGUGAAGCCCACAGUGACAGGAAACACCAGAACUCUGUACAAAAACCUGCAGUACUCCACAGCAGCCACUAGAGGGCCUCACUCCCUGUUAAACCACAAAAACCUGCAGUACUCCACAGCAGCCACUAGAGGGCCUCACUCCCUGUUAAUCUACUGGUUGUUGAGUCUUUGGACUGAAGACAAAGACAACAGAGACAUGAAGCAGUAAAGAUCAGAGACAGAGCUGCUGAGGAAGCAGAAAACUCUCUGAUUGGUUGAGUUGAAGUGGCCCCGCCCACUGACCUUCAGCUCAUCCAAUCCUCUCCCUUGUUACUCUCUGAGGUUUCCAGUAUUGCUCUGACGCCGCCUCCCACUGAUCCAGGAUUUGGGUUAUGAAGCUGUAAUGACUUUGUGCCAAGGCAACAGAUUGAUACCUUUCAUAAAUUUGCAAAUCACACACUAAGACUAUUUUAUUACUGUUGAAGAACUUAACAUUACAUUGGCACAAUAAUUGAGCAGCCAUAUUUCUCUAUUUUGUAUACGCUUUAAUAAAUGUGUCACUACAAAUUGAUUCAGUAGGACGGAAAAAUAAAAAAAAUCUAGCAAACGUAA